GUGAGGCCGAUCGGCAUGUCGCUUGCGAUGAUCUUCCAGGUGGCCGUCGACGCUUUGAGGUUCUGCUUCAGCCACGCCACUUGAGCCUCGCCCAUCAUGCGUGUGGCCGGCCCCGGCGCGGCCUCACGGUUAUGGCCGUUGGCCGCCCGAUAGCUGCGCUGGUCGAGCACGAAGACCUCGGCAACCGGCCCAUAGCGAUACACGCGGUACACGCGUUCCGCUUCGUCGGGAUGCGACCGAAUGGGCAGGUACUCGAACAUUGCGCGUUUGGCCCGCGCCGCGAGCAGGGCAAUGCUCCGUUCGGUGUAUUCCGGCCGCGUCGAGAAGUCGGUGCCGGGGCUCCAGUUGUUCAAGACCUCGUGGUCGUCCCACUGA
rnacentral:misc_RNA from 1 species